UACAGAGGUGGCAAGCGUUGUUCGGAUUUAUUGGGCGUAAAGGGUCCGUAGGCGGUUUGGAAAGUCAGAUGUGAAAUCCCACAGCUCAACUGUGGAACUGCAUUUGAAACUUCCAGACUAGAGUGUGAGAGGGGUAAGGGGAAUUCCCGGUGUAAGGGUGAAAUCUGCAGAGAUCGGGAGGAACACCAGUCGCGAAGGCGCCUUACUGGCUCACUACUGACGCUCAGGGACGAAAGCUAGGGGAGCAAACGGG
rnacentral:rRNA from 1 species